rnacentral:rRNA from 1 species
AGAGUUUGAUCCUGGCUCAGAUUGAACGCUGGCGGCAGGCCUAACACAUGCAAGUCGAGCGGUAGAGAGAAGCUUGCUUCUCUUGAGAGCGGCGGACGGGUGAGUAAUACCUAGGAAUCUGCCUGAUAGUGGGGGAUAACGUUCGGAAACGGACGCUAAUACCGCAUACGUCCUACGGGAGAAAGCAGGGGACCUUCGGGCCUUGCGCUAUCAGAUGAGCCUAGGUCGGAUUAGCUAGUUGGUGAGGUAAUGGCUCACCAAGGCUACGAUCCGUAACUGGUCUGAGAGGAUGAUCAGUCACACUGGAACUGAGACACGGUCCAGACUCCUACGGGAGGCAGCAGUGGGGAAUAUUGGACAAUGGGCGAAAGCCUGAUCCAGCCAUGCCGCGUGUGUGAAGAAGGUCUUCGGAUUGUAAAGCACUUUAAGUUGGGAGGAAGGGCAUUAACCUAAUACGUUAGUGUUUUGACGUUACCGACAGAAUAAGCACCGGCUAACUCUGUGCCAGCAGCCGCGGUAAUACAGAGGGUGCAAGCGUUAAUCGGAAUUACUGGGCGUAAAGCGCGCGUAGGUGGUUUGUUAAGUUGAAUGUGAAAUCCCCGGGCUCAACCUGGGAACUGCAUCCAAAACUGGCAAGCUAGAGUAUGGUAGAGGGUAGUGGAAUUUCCUGUGUAGCGGUGAAAUGCGUAGAUAUAGGAAGGAACACCAGUGGCGAAGGCGACUACCUGGACUGAUACUGACACUGAGGUGCGAAAGCGUGGGGAGCAAACAGGAUUAGAUACCCUGGUAGUCCACGCCGUAAACGAUGUCAACUAGCCGUUGGGAGUCUUGAACUCUUAGUGGCGCAGCUAACGCAUUAAGUUGACCGCCUGGGGAGUACGGCCGCAAGGUUAAAACUCAAAUGAAUUGACGGGGGCCCGCACAAGCGGUGGAGCAUGUGGUUUAAUUCGAAGCAACGCGAAGAACCUUACCAGGUCUUGACAUCCUUUGAAGCUUUUAGAGAUAGAAGUGUUCUCUUCGGAGACAAAGUGACAGGUGGUGCAUGGUCGUCGUCAGCUCGUGUCGUGAGAUGUUGGGUUAAGUCCCGCAACGAGCGCAACCCUUAUUGUUAGUUGCCAGCAUUCAGAUGGGCACUCUAGCGAGACUGCCGGUGACAAACCGGAGGAAGGCGGGGACGACGUCAGAUCAUCAUGCCCCUUAUGACCUGGGCUACACACGUGCUACAAUGGCGUAUACAACGAGUUGCCAACCUGUGAAGGUGAGCUAAUCUCUUAAAGUACGUCUCAGUUCGGACUGCAGUCUGCAACUCGACUGCACGAAGUCGGAAUCGCUAGUAAUCGCGGAUCAGCACGCCGCGGUGAAUACGUUCCCGGGUCUUGCACUCACCGCCCGUCA